GCUGGGCGUGGUGGCACAUGCCUGUAAUCCCAGCUACUCGGGAGGCUGAGGCAGGAGAAUUGCUUGAAUCCGGGAGGCAGAGGUUGCAGUGAGCUGAGAUCGCGCCACUGCACUCCAGCCUGGGUGACAGAGCGAGACUCUGUCUCAA
rnacentral:SRP_RNA from 1 species